GAUGAACGCUGGCGGCGUGCCUAACACAUGCAAGUCGAACGGAGUUGUCACCAUGAAGUUUUCGGAUGGAAUGGAGGCAACUUAGUGGCGGACGGGUGAGUAACGCGUGGGUAACCUGCCUCAUACUGGGGGAUAACAGCUGGAAACGGCUGCUAAAACCGCAUAAGAUCGCAUCACCGCAUGGUGAAGCGGUUAAAUAUCGAAAGAUAGGUAUGAGAUGGGCCCGCGUCUGAUUAGCUAGUUGGUGAGAUAAGAGCCCACCAAGGCGACGAUCAGUAGCCGGCUUGAGAGAGUGACCGGCCACAUUGGGACUGAGACACGGCCCAAACUCCUACGGGAGGCAGCAGUGGGGAAUAUUGCACAAUGGGGGAAACCCUGAUGCAGCGACGCCGCGUGAGUGAAGAAGUGCUUCGGCAUGUAAAGCUCUAUCAGCAGGGAAGAAGAUGACGGUACCUGACUAAGAAGCCCCGGCUAACUACGUG
rnacentral:rRNA from 1 species